rnacentral:rRNA from 1 species
ACGAUGAUGGAGAGCUUGCUCUUCGGAUUAGUGGCGAACGGGUGAGUAACACGUGAGCAAUCUGCCCUUGACUCUGGGAUAAGCGUUGGAAACGACGUCUAAUACCGGAUACGACCUUGGAAGGCAUCUUCCUUGGUGGAAAGAAUUUUGGUCAGGGAUGAGCUCGCGGCCUAUCAGCUAGUUGGUGAGGUAAUGGCUCACCAAGGCGACGACGGGUAGCCGGCCUGAGAGGGUGACCGGCCACACUGGGACUGAGACACGGCCCAGACUCCUACGGGAGGCAGCAGUGGGGAAUAUUGCACAAUGGGCGAAAGCCUGAUGCAGCAACGCCGCGUGAGGGACGACGGCCUUCGGGUUGUAAACCUCUUUUAGUAGGGAAGAAGCGAAAGUGACGGUACCUGCAGAAAAAGCACCGGCUAACUACGUGCCAGCAGCCGCGGUAAUACGUAGGGUGCAAGCGUUGUCCGGAAUUAUUGGGCGUAAAGAGCUCGUAGGCGGUUUGUCGCGUCUGCUGUGAAAACCCGAGGCUCAACCUCGGGCCUGCAGUGGGUACGGGCAGACUAGAGUGCGGUAGGGGAGAUUGGAAUUCCUGGUGUAGCGGUGGAAUGCGCAGAUAUCAGGAGGAACACCAAUGGCGAAGGCAGAUCUCUGGGCCGUAACUGACGCUGAGGAGCGAAAGCAUGGGGAGCGAACAGGAUUAGAUACCCUGGUAGUCCAUGCCGUAAACGUUGGGAACUAGAUGUGGGGACCAUUCCACGGUCUCCGUGUCGCAGCUAACGCAUUAAGUUCCCCGCCUGGGGAGUACGGCCGCAAGGCUAAAACUCAAAGGAAUUGACGGGGGCCCGCACAAGCGGCGGAGCAUGCGGAUUAAUUCGAUGCAACGCGAAGAACCUUACCAAGGCUUGACAUAUAGAGGAAACGKCUGGAAACAGUCGCCCCGCAAGGUCUCUAUACAGGUGGUGCAUGGUUGUCGUCAGCUCGUGUCGUGAGAUGUUGGGUUAAGUCCCGCAACGAGCGCAACCCUCGUCCUAUGUUGCCAGCACGUAAUGGUGGGAACUCAUGGGAUACUGCCGGGGUCAACUCG